rnacentral:rRNA from 1 species
AUACGUAGGGGGCAAGCGUUAUCCGGAAUUACUGGGUGUAAAGGGAGAGUAGGCGGCAUGAUAAGUUAGAUGUGAAAGCCUUGGGCUUAACCCGAGGAUUGCAUUUAAAACUAUCAAGCUAGAGUACAGGAGAGGUAAGUGGAAUUCCUAGUGUAGCGAUGAAAUGCGUAGAUAUUAGGAAGAACACCAGUGGCGAAGGCGGCCUGCUGGGCUUUAACUGACGCUGAUGCACGAAAGCAUGGGGAGC